CCCAUUUCCUAUAGCCUUACAAUAAUUCUACAGUGUUUCAUGAAGUUAACAGUCAUUUAGAUUUGAUAAUAAGGAAGCUAAUGACACUUAAAUUGUCCUCAGCUCCUGCUGAGUUCCACAAGCUCAACACUGCCUUAGUAGCUCCAUGACUCUCCUUUGAUUAAAUCUCAAGUUAGUUAAUAGCUGGAAUGUGAUGCCCCCAAAAUAGGUAUACAUCACCCAUCUUGGGUCACCAAAUACAUGGUACAAAAUAUAAAUACAAACUUAAUUAUACAAAAUGAGCUGAGAGUUUUUACACGAAUAUUAUCUUCUAGACAAUAUCCAAACUCAAAUGGAGUUCUCAUUACAUUUAUUGGCACACUAUUUUAUAGAAUAGUGAGGACUACUAUAACACCAUCUCGGGCCAUCACUCCGUUCCCCGACUAGUUCCGGCUACGUUCUCAUUUCCUGAAGAGAACAAUGGAAGUAAAAGGGUGAGCUCAACUAGCCUAGUAAGAAAUAUUAUGACUAAGAUAAUGCAGAAUAAGUUAUCAUUAGCCUUCAACAAUGUUAAACUGAUAGAAUAUAAUAGACAACAAGUUUAACUGCAGCGGAACAAACAAUCCAUUAGAAGAGUCAAGUAGAGCAUGAUAUCUACUAUCUUCUAUGAUUUAAAAAGUUUAUCAUUAACUUUAUCGCUGGGACUCAGCUUAAUAAAUAAAUCACAUCAUCGAAUCAUCCCUGCACUACGAGCCAAGGAUAUUCAUUAGUAUCACGUCCACAAAUUAUUCUUGCACUACGGGCCAAGAAUAUUCGUGUAAUCAUCAAUGGUCAUGACUAUACCGAAUUAUCCCUGGUCAUAAUCAUACCAAUCAACAGUCCAUCUAUGCACGUAAUCCAAAGAUGACUUUCAUCACAAUAUAAGCAUGAGGAUGAUGACAAUGAUAUAAGAAUUCAAUUAAAAGAAAGUAAAUGAUAAAUUUUUAAAGAUUUAUAAUUUAAUUUAUCCAGAAUUUAAUAAUGUCCAAAUUUUUAACAUGAUACUACUUUGUAGAGUAAAAUUCAUGAAUAAUAUCCAUGUAUCAAAAAUAAUUUGGACAGAAAAGAAAUAAAUUUUUUGGUGAAUAGUACCCCGUGAAUAGUACCCUGUGAAUAGUACUUUAGGAAUAGUACCUCGUGAAUAGUAACCCAACAUAAAAAGUGCCCCAAAUACACAAGUGAACAAUAUUUGAGUGAAUAGUAAUUAAAUGAAUAGUAACCUAUGAAUAGUAACUUGUUAAUAGUACUCUGGCAUGAAAAGUGCCCCAAAUACCCAAGUGAAUAAUAUUAUAAUGAAUAGUAAUAGAGUGAAUAGUAACCCAUGUCCCUAUGAAUAGUACUUCAGGUGAAAAUAUUGAUAUUUAAUAAGAAAGUUCAUAUCAAUAUUCCAAUAAAAUGAUACUGGAUGAAGCACAAAACUCAAGGAUAUUCCACUAAUUUCAAGAAUUAUAGAAGCAAUACUUACCAUAGUAAGUUUAGAUUUAAGAAUAUGAAAAGAAUUAACAUACGAAAACUGCAAAUGGAUUUUCACCUGUCAUACAGUACGUAAUCCGCGUAGACAGGUUAUUCCAACAUACUAAAAGAUUAAUACUAAAAAUAGUAUUCCUUAUGAAUACGAAAGAAAUAAAACCCCUUACCUUAGUAGAAAGCUGGAUACUGCAAAAGUGAAGUAGCAGAAUACUCUUCUUCUUGCUCUCUAUAGUUUCUCUCUCUAUAGUGGCUCGUGUGAAUCUCAGUGAAUUGGUGAGAAUGAAAGAAGAAUUAAGUUUCUAUUUAUAGGAGAAUGGACUAAAUAGUAACUAAUUCACGAACGGUCCAAAUUGAUUCACUAUUAGAACGGACGGUCCAUAUUGAUUACUAUUAAAAUCACAACUGACGGUCCAGAUUGAUUUACUUUUAAAACCACCACCGACGGUCCAGAUUGAUUUACUUUUAAAACCACCACCGACGGUCUAGAUUGAUUUACUUUUAAAACCAACGUCGACGGUCCAGAUUGAUUUACUUUUAAAACCACCACUGACGGUCCAGAUUGAUUUACUUUUAAAACCAACAUCAAUGGUCCAGAUUGAUUUACUAUUAAAACCACCAUCAAUGGUCCAGAUUGAUUUACUAUUAAAACCACCACCAAUGGUCCAGAUUGAUUUAACUUAUUACGCAAAUAAUAAUAUGAAUAAUUUUGUUGUCUCAAUUAUUAAUUUAAUAAUAUAAAAUAUUAUGCAGAUGAUAAUGUGGCAAUAAUUAAAUCAAAUAACGUGAGAUACUAUGCAAUAAUUAUUGUAGCAAUAAUUGAGUAUAAAUGAGUGACUUCUCACGUAAGCAUUAAUAAUUAAUACCGUGUGCUACUAUGCAAUCACGCGUAUUAUUGUACUUUUACCACCGGUUAGUUCAACAGUUUAACGGUAAAACUUUCGCUGUUAUUUUUAUUAAAAGAUAUUUUUGUCAUUUUUUAACUACGACAAUACUUCCGUUAUGGGGUCCACCAAUGAUUGUGCCGUUGUAUGAAUAUUCCCUGUUAAACAAAUAUUCCCCGACCAAUCGAAUAUUCACUGACACAACGAAUAUUUUAUAUCAACUUACUUACUUUGCAAAAUUUUCCAAAUAUUACCCACAACUAUAACAUUAUAUCAUAUCCAAUCAACAGUCCAUCUAUGCACGUAAGCCAAAGAUGACUUUCAUCACAAUAUAAGCAUGAGGAUGAUGACAAUGAUAUAAGAAUUUAAUUAAAAGAAAGCAAAUGAUAAAUUUUUAAAGAUUUAUAAUUUAAUUUAUCCAAAAUUCAAUAAUGUCCAAAUUUUCAACAUGAUACUGCUUUGUGGAGUAAAAUUCAAGAAAAAUAUCCAUGUAUCAAAAAUAAUUUGGACAGAAAAGAAAUAAAUUUUUCGGUAAAUAGUACCCCGUGAAUAGUACCAUAUGAAUAGUACUUUGGGAAUAGUACCCUGUGAAUAGUAACCCGACAUGAAAAGUGCCCCAAAUACCCGAGUGAACAAUAUUUGAGUGAAUAGUAAUCGGAUGAAUUGUAACCUAUGAAUAGUACCCUGUGAAUAGUAUUUCGGCUGAUAAUAUUGAUAUUUAAUAAGAAAGUUCAUAUCAAUAUUCCAAUAAAAUGAUACUGGAUAAAGCACAAAACUCAAGGAUAUUCUACUAAUUUCAAGGAUUAUAGAAGCAAUACUUACCAUAGUAAGUUUAGAUUUAAGAAUAUGAAAAAAAUUAACAUACGAAAACUGCAAAUAGAUUUUCACCUGUCAUACGGUACGUAAUCCGCGUAGACAGGUUAUUCUGACAUACUAAAGGAUGAAUACAAAAAAUAGGAUUCCUUAUGAAUACGAAAGAAAUAAUACCCCUUACCUUAGUAGAAAGCUGGAUACUGCAAAAGUGAAGUAGCAAAAUACUCUUCUUCUUGCUCUCUAUAGUUUCUUUCUGUAUAGUGUCUCUUAUGAAUCUCAGUGAAUUGGUGAGAAUGAAAGAAGAAUUAGGCUUCUAUUUAUAGGAGAAUGGACUAAAUUGUAAAUAAUUCACGAACGGUCCAGAUUGAUUCACUAUUAGAACGGACGGUCCAUAUUGAUUACUAUUAAAACCACAACCGACGGUCCAGAUUGAUUUACUUUUAAAAUCACCAUCGACGGUCUAGAUUGAUUUACUUUUAAAACCACCACCGAAGGUCCAGAUUGAUUUAUUUUAAAACCACCACCGACGGUCCAAAUUGAUUUACUUUUAAAACCACCAUCAAUGGUCCAGAUUUAUUUACUAUUCAACCACCAUCAAUGGUCCAGAUUGAUUUACUAUUAAAACCACCACCAAUGGUCCAGAUUGAUUUAACUUAUUACGCUUUAGUACUCCUAAAGUUUUCCAAGUUUGCAUUAUUCCCCUCUAACUUUUGUAAAUCACUUAUCUUCAAUAAACACAUUCUUAAUACUUCAACAAUUAUUCAUCAUUAAUAUUAUAACUCACAAUAUUUAACAACCAGAUCGUUCCUAGGAAAGAGGGGGCUUUCCAAUAAGGAUUUCUCCCUAUUAGCGCGCAAUUAGGUGACCAAACCUCUCAUCGACAGAACUUUCUAGACAUUUUCAAUAUUGUAAAUAAUAAUAUGAAAAUUUUGUUGUCUCAAUUAUUGAUUUAAUAAUAUAAAAUAUUAUACAGAUGAUAAUGUGACAAUAAUUGAAUCAAAUAACGUGAGAUGCUAUGCAACAAUUAAUGUAGCAAAAAUUGAGUAUAACUGAGUGACUUCUCACGUAAGCAUCAAUAAUCAAUACCGUGUGCUACUAUGCAACCACGCGUAUUACUAUACUUUUUCCACCGGGUAGUUCAACAGUUUAACGGUAAAACUUCCGCUGUUAUUUUUAUAAAAAGAUAUUUAUGUCGUUUUCUAACUAUGACAAUACUUCCGUUGUAGGGACCACCAAUGAUUGUGCGGUCAUACAAAUAUUACCUGUUAAAACAAAUAUUCCCCGACCAAUCGAAUAUUCACUGACAGAACGAAUAUUUUAUAUCAACUUGCUUACUUUGCAAAAUUUUCCAAAUAUUACCCACAACUAUAACUUUAUAUCAUAUCUACACCAUAAUAUUCAAAAAUAUAUUUCGAGAAGAAUUAUUCUUUAUUCAAAAAAAAGUUGGGGUCUUACAUGGAAUCUGCAGUUUCACAAUAUUGGUCUGCUAAGCGAAAUCCAAUUGCCUAUUGUUGUUGGUAACAACUACUAUAAUUGGACAGUAGCUUGUUCUCUUGAUCCCCAACUUUUCUACCCCUUUAAAAAAAAAUUAUCUUAUUAACUGCAGCUAACAGAAAACCAAAAGGAAGCAAGCCCAAUUGCCAAAAUGGUUCCUAUUACAGUUUCAUGCUAACUACUGUUGCAUAUAGGCAGCAUCUGCACUUGUUUUAUUUUCUUGCUUUGAAUGUUCCCUAAUCUUAGUUCACUUACACAUUAUUUGAAAGUCAUACAACUAACAUUUUUAACUAUUAGGGUAACUUUAAAUCUAUAGUGAAAUUGUAAGGCUAUAGGAAAUUUGUAGCAUAACUUAGAUAUUAUAGCAACCUAUUAGCAAGAAAGUUAGGCUCAAAAUAGUGUUCAUAUAAGGCUUAACCUGUUGUCCCAAAAUAGUACCCAAGUUUUUUUAACUCUAGAUUUUUACAGUUAACAAAGGGGCUUUGACAAGGAAAAUGAUAAGCAUGUAUUCUUGGCUUAACCGCUGCUCAAAACAGAGGCCAAAGAACUUGUUAGGAUAAAAUUUCCACUAGUAAACUUAGCCAAAAACUGCUAUGUGUUAAAGUUUGACAUACCAAAUACUUUAAUUAACACCACAUAUGUUAAGUUAAUCAAGCCAAUGCCUUACUUUGUUUCUAAUAUUCAGUUCUUUUUACCAAAACAGUUCUUUUAGAACCUUUAUCAAACAGUUGGUAGGCAUGGUUUUAAGCUACCAGUUUCACAGCUAUUUCUUUAUGUCACAAACCCAUUUUGUUCUCCUUAUUACUCCUCAGCCCAUCCUAUCUCCUUGUGCCUAAAUUCAGUCCAUAAUAGUAUUGCAACAGCAUACCAGUCCAUUUAAUACAAUGACAGUUAGUAAAGCAACACAGGUAAUGCUAGCAGUCAGUCUUCAUAGCAAUAUAGUAUAGCAGUCACUAUAAUACACAAUAGUUAAUAUGGCAACUCUAACAUCCAUAACAGUCCUUCAUGCCUAUUCUAAGCUUUUUAGGCAAGGUUUGACACUAAAUUACCAAAAUAGUCAUUAAGUUUGCAACAUAAAGGUUACCACAUCAUGUAUAUGCUAUAUAUUCAUGCUUUAAGGAGCCUGACAAAAAGAAUUCUAGCUUCAGUUACAAAUAGCCCCUCUUAGGAUUCAAAUUGGUACAAAGUAGCAUGAUUUUGAAAAUUUCAGUUACUAAGCUAACAUGAUUAAGCAACAAAUAACAAAAGCUGGCUAUUUACAUAACAUCUAAUAGGUAUAGCUUUCAUUCAGAUAGCCUAUCUUAGCUCACACAUAGACAAUCCACAACCAACCUUUAAACUUUAGGCAUUAAUAUCUUUAAAAUGAGGCUUUUAAAGUAUCAUCAAUAUUAGCUCUUAAGGCUUGAUGUAAUUAUCCCCAUUUAUAACAUAAUAAUCAUAGUAGAAGAAAAUCAUAAUUAUUAUAAGAAAUCUUUUAAUAACAGUCACAAGGACUGCCUUUAGUUUCUUGAAUUAUAUCAUGCUUAAGCUUCACAAGUAUCAUGUUAUAGUAUAUUAACCAUAUUAGAAACAAGUAAUAGUUAUUACAAGUCAAGCUUCAAAUAACAGUCCCUAUGGAGCUUACUAUUUCAGUUCAUUCUUACUUGCUUUGCUCAAAUGUUAAAUUACCAUAGAUUGCAACUUAUAGUGAAACAUGAUAAGGUAAAAUAUAGAGUAUACUUGAGGUAUUGCCCCCACUAUAUGAGCAAUUUAACAAGGUUUGAACUCCAAAUCACAGUUAGUAUACAUAGAUGCUACAUCAGUCCUUAGUUUGGCAGUUUAUCAAACAGAUGGUGGGCAGUCUACAUAUCGUCACACAUUACUUAUAUUAUUAGCUUAGUGAUACCAGCCUUAUGGCUUUAAAACAAUAAUUUAGUGUAAUACAGUCCCUAAUCUCAUAGCAGUCAAUUUUUCAUCAAUUAACAUUCAUGUAGACAUAUGCUCUCAUUCACAGGUAUCAAUUAAUAACAGUAGUUUUAAUUACAUAACCAAUUAUGUGAAGCCGUCCUAGACAACCUCACCCAGCCACUAACAGUUCAAUUGCUAUCUUCUAAAGAAAUAGGAACGAAAGGAUUAGGAAGGCCAGAAUUAGCUUACCUUGUUGAUUCGAAGGUUACAAGUGGGUUGAGCUUCUCAGUUUCCCCUCCUUCUUUAGCCGAACUCUUCCACUCUCACUUUAUGUAGCUGAUAUUGAUAUAGAUUUUAGUCUCUGUUAAGUGGUGAAGCUAAAUUAGGCAAUAAGCUUGGCCCUUUUUAUGGCUGAACUUAUCUUCUCCUACUAGUAAUCCUAUCGCCUUUAGUUGGCCCCUACACAGCCACCUUGAAGCUCCCAGCCAUCAUUCCUAGUCUAGUUCACAUAGCCCCUUCACAGCAACCCUAGCAGACCCUAAC
rnacentral:lncRNA from 1 species